CAGGGCUGGGGGACGGCUGCUGGGCAGUGGGGCCAGCGGGGCCCUCCUCAUACCAGCCAGCCUGGCCCUGUGCCCGAGAUCAGCUCCCAGGUGGGCUCCCGGCGGGGUCCCUCCUGUGCAGUAACAGGUGUGAGCAUUCAUGCAGCGUUUUGAUGGUCAUGUAUGAUACUGCAAACAACA
ensembl:scaRNA small Cajal body-specific RNA 16